UACGUAGGGUCCGAGCGUUGUCCGGAAUUAUUGGGCGUAAAGGGCUCGUAGGCGGUUUGUCACGUCGGGCGUGAAAACUCAGGGCUCAACCCUGAGCGUGCGUUCGAUACGGGCAGACUAGAGGUAUGCAGGGGAGAACGGAAUUCCUGGUGUAGCGGUGAAAUGCGCAGAUAUCAGGAGGAACACCGGUGGCGAAGGCGGGUCUCUGGGCCGAUACUGACGCUGAGGAGCGAAAGCGUGGGGAGCGAACAGG
rnacentral:rRNA from 1 species